rfam:Loxodonta africana unplaced genomic scaffold scaffold_23, whole genome shotgun sequence.
GCAGUGGUGGCUCAGUGGUAGAGUUCUCACCUUUGAUGUGGGAGACCCAGGUUCGGUCCCUGGCCAAUGCA